rnacentral:rRNA from 1 species
AUUGAACGCUGGCGGCAGGCCUAACACAUGCAAGUCGAGCGGAUGAAGGUAGCUUGCUCCUGGAUUCAGCGGCGGACGGGUGAGUAAUGCCUAGGAAUCUGCCUGGUAGUGGGGGAUAACGUCCGGAAACGGGCGCUAAUACCGCAUACGUUCUGAGGGAGAAAGUGGGGGAUCUUCGGACCUCACGCUAUCAGAUGAGCCUAGGUCGGAUUAGCUAGUUGGUGGGGUAAAGGCCUACCAAGGCGACGAUCCGUAACUGUUCUGAGAGGAUGAUCAGUCACACUGGAACUGAGACACGGUCCAGACUCCUACGGGAGGCAGCAGUGGGGAAUAUUGGACAAAGGGCGAAAGCCUGAUCCAGCCAUGCCGCGUGUGUGAAGAAGGUCUUCGGAUUGUAAAGCACUUUAAGUUGGGAGGAAGGGCAGUAAGUUAAUACCUUGCUGUUUUGACGUUACCAACAGAAUAAGCACCGGCUAACUUCGUG